AGCUGCUUUGUCUGUGUGUCAUCCACGGUCGCCACUUCAUCAGCUCUGGUUCCUGACUGAUACUGCAGCUAUAAACAGACGCUGAGUCAUGCGUGAAGACCGCCGGCUCCACGAACACAUGAAGGCAGACCAGAACCAGAACCAGAACCUGGAGGACCGAGGAUGAGCUGCCCUCAUGAGAGGAUCACCGUGAGGACGAGGAAAGGAGAACUCCUUAGGUCCUCAACCGAGCUGAUGAAGUUUGACCAUCAAGGAGUUUCCAGAUCUAAAGGUUUCCCUCAGAUCCACAUUCAGUCUUUCUCCUGGUCAGACUCCCACCAUGAGAACAUCUGAACCAUCUGGAAUGAUGACGGAUGGAGAUGACAUCAGCUCCUCCUCUCAUGGAGAACACGGAGGUUUUUAGUUGGAGCUCCUUGUUUCCUCUCCGUUUGAGGUGAACGGCGGCGAAGGAAGAAGUCAUGUGACUCAGUCCAGUUGUCAUGGCGCCUCAGGCGAGUUCACAUCUCUGAUUCAGAGACUUCCAGAACACAGCUGCAGAUGUUUAGAUCCGACUGUUGGAGGGAAAUCCUGAUGGAGAGCUGCUGCUGACGGAUCAGAACUUCAUGCUGAUGAAGGUCAAACCUGCUCAGGUGAGGAGCAACCCUCAUGGAAACUUCUCCUCAGGAUUAUGAAGCGUCUGAAUCUCUGGGUCCAAAGCUAGACCUAAAGAACGUUUUAUUAUCAUCAGAGCUGCAGCCGAGGACGAUUAGAUCAGAUUUUUCUGUUAGUGAUAACAGAUCAGGAGCAGAACAUUGUCUUUAACUUCUCAUUUUUAGUCAUUUUGUUUUUAAACUUCUUCUUGUAACAUUCUCUCUGCAAACCUUCACUUCUCUAUGAGCUUUAAUGCAGAGACGUCUGUCUUCUGGGUUCUGAUGGGUUCUGAUGGGUUCUAAUGGGUUCUGAUGGGUUCUGAUGGGUUCUGAUGGGUUCUGAUGGGUUCUGAAGCAGCUUUCUCUCACUCUUCGGAGUUCUGGUGAUCCUGCAGGAUCUUCUGCUCAAACAUGAUGCUCUCCUUUCUGUUUGCUCUCAGAUUCUGUUAGUUCUGGUCUGAGAAAAACCAACCGAAGGAGGAGAAAUCCUCAACGAGACGUUUGAAAAAAUGUCUGAAAAUAAGUUUUUUUUUUGCUUUAAGUUUACGACUUUUGAUUGAUUAACCUUUAAAAUGAGUUAGGAGGUUAAGAUUAGAGCUGGAAACUGAAACGGAGACAGAUGGUGUCUGCAGCUUUAUCAGAGAUGGGGUCAAAGGUCAAGGACGGCGCUCUGAGGAAUGCCGCUCCACCACAGCCGCGCUCGGACCGCAGGAAGUGUCUGAGUGCAGCAGGUCCUCACAGGGUGACGGCUCCCGUCUGUCUGCGCAGUCGGAGGUCUUUAUCUGUCCUCUGCAGACGCCACAUUCCCUUUGGCAUCAGAGGCAAACGCUCCUGAUUGGUGGAACCAACAUCAGGAAUCAACACCGGAGUUUGAAACCGUUUUUAUCUCCAAACCUCCAUGUUUCCAGGAGAAAUACAUGUUGGUUUUGGUUUUUCUAGAAUGAACCAAUCACAGAACGGCGUUCUGCUCUGUGACGCCUCCACAGGUCAUCGGAGUUAAACACUGAUCAGACCUAAAUACGGAUUCCUGUUUGAAGUUCCAAACAUCUUCUGAUCUGUUUUCAAAGUGUUCCCAGUUUUUAUCAAAUCCAAAAUCCUGUGACGAUUUCUGUGACAUAGUUCCUGUAGAAGUUCACCUGUGAGUUUUGGGCCAAAAGUUAGCUCUGCUAAUGUUCCCAUCAGC